CGGAGGAACAUUGUGGUUUAAUUCGAUGAUACGCGAGGAACCUUACCCGGGCUUAAAUGUAGAGUGCAUUUUUAGAGAUAGAAAUUCCCUUCGGGGCUUUCUGCAAGGUGCUGCAUGGUUGUCGUCAGCUCGUGCCGUGAGGUGUCGGGUUAAGUCCCAUAACGAGCACAACCCUUAUCGUUAGUUGCCAGCUGGUAAAGCAGGGGACUCUAGCGAAACUGCCACCGUAAGGUGAGAGGAAGGUGGGGAUGACGUCAAAUCAGCACGGCCCUUAUGUCCAGGGCUACACACGUGUUACAAUGGCCGGCACAGAGGGCAGCUACCUGGUGACAGGAUGCUAAUCUCGAAAACCGGUCUCAGUUCGGAUCGAAGUCUGCAACUCGACUUCGUGAAGCUGGAUUCGCUAGUAAUCGCGCAUCAGCCAUGGCGCGGUGAAUACGUUCCCGGGCCUU
rnacentral:rRNA from 1 species